AUAAAUAAGCGGAGGAAAAGAAACCAAACGGGAUUCCCUUAGUAACGGCGAGCGAAAAGGGAAAUGUCCAGCGCCAAGUCUUGACAUCAAUGGUGUUCAAGAGAUGCGGCGUUAAUGUAUCGACUGAUCAUGCAUUGUUCCACAUUUCAAGUCCCUACGAGCGGGACUUCCAGAGCGGGUGUAAGACCCAUAGAGAUGAGGAACCAGUGUAUGCUGAGCGAUGCAUUCUAGAGUCAGGUUGCUUGAGAGUGCAGCUUAAAGUCGGUGGUAAACUCCAUCCAAGACUAAAUAUUACAGCGAGACCGAUAGCAAACAAGUACCGUGAGGGAAAGUUGCAAAGCACUUUGAAGAGAGAGUUCAAAAGUACGUGAAACCACUGGGAGGCAAACAGAUGGAACCACGAAGUGUGCGCCUCGGUCGAUUCAAUCAACACUUUUGAUCAAUUGUUGCAAUUCAGAAUCUUUUCGAAGAUUGAUUUGUAACAAUUCAAGAUUAAAGGUGUUGGUGCAUUUCGUGCCGAGGAUGCUAAGCCACGUUCAACUAGAGUUGGGACGGCUUUAGGAAAGAAUCCAGGAAAGGUAACCGUCAAAUGCUUGCAUUUGAUGGCGUUAUAGUCUUGGAUUGGCACCGUCAUCAAACAUACUGGUUGAUAAAAAUUCUCCAUUUGGAGUUGAAACCAUAUCUGCCUGUGAUUGUUAGUCAAUGUUGCGUAAUGUUCUUUGCGUAUCUUUCGAUGCGAAAAGGCAUUACAAAAAUGUUGGUUAAUGGUUGGUUGCGUGAUAUGGUGGAACUGUGGCGUGAGUAGGUCGGUGUCCAUCUGACCCGUCUUGAAACACGGACCAAGGAGCCUAUCAUAUACGCGAGUCGCUCGGUCUUGUUUAGGCCUGUGAGGCGUAAUGAAAGUAAAGUUACGAGGUUUCGGCUGCAGUAACGGCUCGCCCACUUCGUUUAUUGGCGAUCUGGCGAAGCAGGAGCGUAUACGAUGGUACCCGAAAGAUGGUGAACUAUGCCUGGGCAAGACGAAGCCAGAGGAAACUCUGGUGGAGGUCUGUAGCGAUUCUGACGUGCAAAUCGAUCGUCAGACCUGGGUAUAGGGGCGAAAGACUAAUCGAACCAUCUAGUAGCUGGUUCCCUCCGAAGUUUCCCUCAGGAUAGCAGGCAUUUAUUGUGUGCAGUCUCAUCCGGUAAAGCUAAUGAUUAGAGGUCUUGGGGUUGAAACGACCUCAACCUAUUCUCAAACUUUAAAUGGGUGAGAUGGUUGACUUUCUUGAUUUUGAAGCCAACCAUUUGGAUGCAAAUGCCUAGUGGGCCAUUUUUGGUAAGCAGAACUGGCGCUGUGGGAUGAACCAAACGUCGAGAUAAGGCAUCAAAUGCAUACGCUCAUGAGACCCCAUGAAAGGUGUUGGUUGCUAUAGACAGCAGGACGGUGGCCAUGGAAGUCGGAAUCCGCUAAGGAGUGUGUAACAACUCACCUGCCGAAGCAACUAGCCCUGAAAAUGGACGAUGCUGUAGCGUGGAGCCGAUACUCGACCGUUAUGAUGAUUGAGAUAGAAUAAGAUAUCAUGACGAGUAGGAGGGCCGCAAUGUUAGCAUUGAAGGUGUCCGGCGUAAGCCGGCCUGGAGCUAUCAUUGUU
rnacentral:rRNA from 2 species